rnacentral:rRNA from 1 species
UGGGGAAUAUUGCACAAUGGACGGAAGUCUGAUGCAGCAACGUCGCGUGAGGGAUGACGGACUUCGGGUUGUAAACCGCUUUUUCUCAUGACGAAGUUUUUUGAAGGUAGUGGGGGAAGAAGCAGUGGCUAACUACGUGCCAGCAGCCGCGGUGAUACUUAGGGUGCGAGCGUUGUCCGGCAUUAUUGGGCGUAAAGAGCUUGUAGGCGGUUUGUCGCGUCGAUAGUGCAAACUCAGUGCUUAACGCUGAGCCUGCUGUUGAUACGGGCAGCCUAGAGGAAGGUAGGGGAGAAUGGAAUUCCCGGUGGAGCGGUGGAAUGCGCAGAUAUCGGGAGGCACACCGGUGGCGAAGGCGGUUCUCUGGGCCUUUCCUGUCGCUGAGAAGCGAAAGCGUGGGGAGCGAACAGG